rnacentral:rRNA from 1 species
UACGGAGGGGGCUAGCGUUGUUCGGAAUUACUGGGCGUAAAGCGCACGUAGGCGGCUUUGUAAGUUAGAGGUGAAAGCCCGGAGCUCAACUCCGGAAUUGCCUUUAAGACUGCAUCGCUUGAAUCAUGGAGAGGUGAGUGGAAUUCCGAGUGUAGAGGUGAAAUUCGUAGAUAUUAGGAAGAACACCAGUGGCGAAGGCGGCUCACUGGUCCGGUACUGACGCUGAGGCGCGAAAGCGUGGGGAGCAAACAGG